GACGAACGCUGGCGGCGUGCUUAACACAUGCAAGUCGAACGGAAAGGCCCUGCUUUUGUGGGGUGCUCGAGUGGCGAACGGGUGAGUAACACGUGAGUAACCUGCCCUUGACUUUGGGAUAACUUCAGGAAACUGGGGCUAAUACCGGAUAGGAGCUCCUGCUGCAUGGUGGGGGUUGGAAAGUUUCGGCGGUUGGGGAUGGACUCGCGGCUUAUCAGCUUGUUGGUGGGGUAGUGGCUUACCAAGGCUUUGACGGGUAGCCGGCCUGAGAGGGUGACCGGCCACAAUGGGCCUGAGAUACGGCGCAGACUCCUACGGGAGGCAGCAGUGGGGAAUAUUGCACAAUGGGCGGAAGCCUGAGGCAGCAACGCCGCGUGCGGGAUGACGGCCUUCGGGUUGAAAACCGCUUUCGCCUGUGACGAAGCGUGAGUGACGGUAAUGGGUAAAGAAGCACCGGCUAACUACGUG
rnacentral:rRNA from 1 species